AAAACACUUGAUAUAACUUAAUACAGGCAUCUCAACCCUCGCACUAUUCUAAACACAGGACGAGGGGUAGAAUUAGGGGAAUAAUAGCUAUAGGUUAGAGCACUAGAUUAGAAAUCUAGGGCCAGUUAGAAUGGUUAGGCUCUGAAAAACAUACCUUUCUUUAUCCUGCUAAACAGUGAGACUGUGGAUUAUGUAGAGAUCAUGUGACAUAACCUGACUUUGAACUGGACACGAAAGUGGAGAAGAAAAAAACAUGCGUCCGCAGUUGAGCGCAUCCGCCCACGGCCAGCUUGUUUGAAAGGUACGGAAGAAAAACGUGCAGAUGACGUGCUUGAUUAACGGACCUUCAUCAAAAUAGUACUUGUUGCAUUAUGUGUGGCCUAGACCCAACCGUUCCUCACAUCUUCUAUCUGCGAGAGUGGACGAAGUCAUGAUUGGUAAAGGAAAAACAAUAUCUUCACAUAACUGACUAGUUAACAAACAUCUUUCCUGCGGAAUACAAUAGAAUGGCCAAUUCUUCUUCUCUCCCUUUCUUUUCCAUGCAAGAGGUUUCUCUCAACACCCUAUGUACCUCUGACAUAUCCAGAAGAAAGUCGAAUAGAAUAACAGCCAGAAACAUAUAACGUUACACAAAAUCAGCUGGUCCUAGUAUAUAUUUGUCUUCUCUUAUCUUCUUCUCUUCUUCUGUUCUGUUUUCAUUUGUUCUCUUUCUUUUCUUUCCUUUAUUUUUUUUGAAAACAUUUUUGCUUUUUGUUCAUUUUUUUACCCUUUAUAUUUCGUUCGCGCGAGAUCAAUUUUGAAUUCUCGAUGACAUGGCCGACAAAAAUCUAUAUUUUCUCCCUUUUAAGUCAGAGACGGAUUUUCCACGUUCGCUAUUAACGUACAUGUACAGUGGGGAGGGAAUGAGAAGAAAAAUGAAGGAAUACUAGCCAUCCAGUCGGUUGCUUGUUCCUUGGUUUCAUCAGCCAGCGUUGUACGCUAUUGCACGACCAUCAAUUCCUUGUCGAUGACAUCGACGGAUCCUCCGGCUCCUGAACUUUUUCGUUCCCGUCGUCUCCCGCCCUCUUAUUUCCCUCACUGCCGCUUGAGUGGAUGUCCGGUUUAAGGUUUGGUGUGCCCUGCUGGGUUGAGCUUAAAUCGAUAGAGGACUGAUUUUUCCCAUGGAGGCUUAGUAAAUUAUAAUUAACACGGCCGACCCUCUCAGUCUUCUCACGGAAAUUCUCAGAAAACCCCUCUCCCAGAUCAGGAUGAACUGUGUCGCGCCGGCUCGAACUAGGCUCUGUGUGCGACAAAGUUUCCUCAAGAAGCCCUGGGAAAUUAUCAUGGUCAAUCUGCUCCAUCAGCUCACGGAAGCCCUUAUCCAUAUCAACCUGAAUUUCACCCAUUGAAACAGUAACUGGUUGCUCUUGUUGCAUUGUUGCCGCCACUCUACUAGCCAAGGCAUCAGGCGUGCUAUGAAAUGGCAUGCUCUGCCCUGAAGAAGUAGAGGUUAAAGGAUCCUCAGUCCCCUCCAUCUCCUCCUUUUUGGCGCUGUCCCAACCAGCAAAAAAUUGCUCUAAGAGGUCGUCUAAUGAGUCGGGAGGCAAAAGAAGAUUGUUGGCAUCCCUCGUCAUUCCCUUCACGUUAGGAGCCAUGCCAAUACC
rnacentral:sRNA from 2 species